CACCCCCUUCCUUCUUUAUAUCUUUUCUCUAUUUAUAACCCACUCUACCGACCUUCCUAUCCACCCCCACUCUGUACCGUUUCUCAAAUGCCGCUAUGCACGUCGAUUUUGCUUCACUAUCACUGCUAUUGCAAGCAAAAAACCAGACAUAUUUCUAGGCGAUGCUGAGAAUCAGGCGUAUUUCCAGCGAACCUCUGUGUAACUUCCAUCAAUGACGUCACUAGUGCUGGUGGUAUAGUUCGCCAGUUUUGGGAUGAACUUUUUGAUUUUUGGUGGUGAAGGGAAAGUUUUGGGGCGAAUUAGGCCGUAGUGCUUGCAAAAGAUCUAGAUUUUUGUAUUUUUUAAUUAAUGUUCAUCAAUUUUUAGUGGUGGGUAGUUUUUUUAUCAGAUCUGUUGUUUAGCUAGAGUUUGCGCUUGUCUGGGGACGCCACCAAGCACUUAUUGGACCGUUGAAACAGUAGUCAUUAAUUUAAUAUUGUUAAAAAAUCUGACAACAAAUCAGUACGAUUGCAGGAAACAGUAGUUGGCCGUCUUCUUUUACCCUUCGACAUUUCACGCUCAAACCCACCACUCCCACAGAGCAACGCCAUUUCCAAACCGGUCGAACGAUUUCUUCCUCUUUGACUGAAAAACCCCUACAGGUUCAAGAGCACCAUGGAUCCAUAUUCCACCUCGCCGUGAAUUACUACUACAUGGGAAAUCGCUUAUGCUACAAAAUUACAAAUUGGUUCUCUCUCCAUGUACGUGGAUCCAUAUAUGUUAUAUGUAUGUACUGGCAUUUUGUUGGGGCAAGCUCUGACAAUCGAAUUAUGGAAGGCCCGGGGAACAUAGGACCCGAAAAUUAUGGUCUUUCAUACUGCCUCUACUUCCAACCCCCACCAAUCUCGUCCUAAGCCCUUGGGAGGAGGACUACCCAGUCAACGUCAGAAGAUAAUCGAGUUUUCAUUGCCGCAUGUGAGACCGUAAUAGCCGACAGGCACCAUAAUGGGAAGUUCUUCACAAAACAUGGCUGGCACACGAUUGUCCAAUUGUUCAACACUAACUCCGAGUACAAUUGGAGUAGGCAGCAGUUGAAAAAUCACUAGGAUUAUCUUCGAGUCAAGUACAAAUGUCUCCAGGGCUUGAUAGACUGCAUAGGCAUCGCAUACGACUCUGCACGCAGUACCCUAGUCGCGUCCGACGAGUGGUGGGCACAAAAGAUUAAGGAGAACAAAAAGUACAGAGAGUUCAAAGAUAAAGAUUGAGAGAGAUAUAUGCCUACAUGGUUCUGUUCAGUGAUGUGUUUGACAACGAGAAGUACACGACGACGCCGAUGAAGUUGUGCAGGACCAGGAUCGCCAUGUUUGAAGACAAUGCAAACGAUGGCACGCACGACGCAAUGCCGAUGUGCAAGGAGAGCAGAGCUCAAGCGAUGAGGGCAACAAGUAUGACAGGCCCUUAUCAAGCAUGGACGUCUCCAGCCGUAGGAGUGGAGAGAAAUAUAGAUCCAACGAUAGUAAAAAUAAGGAGAAGAGAACUAGAAUAUCAGUUAAGGAAUUGUCGUACUCAGUUGACAGAGCCACGAUCGCAAGUGGGAAAGUUGCGGUGAAACUUGAAAACUUAGUCAGAUCCAAUGUUCCAAGCAUGAAGACAUGCAUGAAGAAGUUGUUCGCGACAGGCAGGCUGCAAAAAAUACUAAUCUCUAAUUUUGGACGUACACGUUUCUGUCUUUAAAGCGGAACAUGGAGGUCUGGAGAUGCAGGAUGAUGCGAAUGAAAAGAUGGAUUGGUUGGAGUGGAACUGGCAUGAGUCCAGGAAAGGACGACCAUAGUGAGGACUGCAUGAGGGGCAGAAUAAAUUUUCCCUGUUGCGGAGAGUCCCGCGGAACUUAUUUUUUGCUUUCGUUUUUUUCCGUUUUCAUCAGUGUGCGGUUCAUCAACCUUUGAAUUUUGUUGUUGUGUACUUUUUAAGAUUUUCUGUAUCCAUAUAUGUACUACCAACUACUGAGAUUUCAUGUCCAUAUCUGUUGUGUGAACUUUUGUAAUGUUCACAAAGC